rnacentral:rRNA from 1 species
GCAUAUCAAUAAGCGGAGGAAAAGAAACCAACAGGGAUUACCUCAGUAACGGCGAGUGAAGCGGUAACAGCUCAAAUUUGAAAUCUGGGUCUUUCAGGCUCCGAGUUGUAAUUUGUAGAAGAUGCUUCGGGUGUGGCUCCGGUCUAAGUUCCUUGGAACAGGACGUCAUAGAGGGUGAGAAUCCCGUAUGUGACUGGUUGCCUUCGCCCAUGUGAAGCUCUUUCGACGAGUCGAGUUGUUUGGGAAUGCAGCUCAAAAUGGGUGGUAAAUUUCAUCUAAAGCUAAAUAUUGGCCAGAGACCGAUAGCGCACAAGUAGAGUGAUCGAAAGAUGAAAAGCACUUUGGAAAGAGAGUUAAACAGUACGUGAAAUUGUUGAAAGGGAAGCGCUUGCAACCAGACUUGCACGCUGCCGAUCAUCCGGGGUUCUCCCCGGUGCACUCGGUUGCGUUCAGGCCAGCAUCGGUUUGGGUGGUUGGAUAAAGGCCUUGGGAAUGUAGCUUCUUUCGGGGAGUGUUAUAGCCCUCGGUGCAAUGCAGCCUACCCGGACCGAGGACCGCGCUUCGGCUAGGAUGCUGGCGUAAUGGUUGUAAGCGACCCGUCUUGAAACACGGACCAAGGAGUCUAACAUCUAUGCGAGUGUUUGGGUGUCAAACCCAUACGCGUAAUGAAAGUGAACGGAGGUGAGAACCCUUAAGGGUGCAUCAUCGACCGAUCCUGAUGUCUUCGGAUGGAUUUGAGUAAGAGCAUAGCUGUUGGGACCCGAAAGAUGGUGAUCUAUACUUGAAUAGGGUGAAGCCAGAGGAAACUCUGGUGGAGGCUCGCAGCGGUUCUGACGUGCAAAUCGAUCGUCAAAUUUGAGUAUAGGGGCGAAAGACUAAUCGAACCAUCUAGUAGCUGGUUCCUGCCGA